rnacentral:lncRNA from 12 species
CCCCCCCCCCCCCCCCCCCCCCCCCCCCCCCCCCCCCCCCCCCCCCCCCCCCCCCGGGCCCGCCCGGCAGCCGCCCGUGCCGGCGGAGGCAGCGUGCCCGCCCCCGCGCGGGAGGGGCAGCGUCCCGGUCCCGGGGCAGCCCCCGCUCCUUCCCGCCGCAGGAAACCCGCGGGCGCGGGUGCCCCGGCGCACCGAGAGCUCCCCACGGAUCGGGAGCAGCGGGUUCUUCCCUCGCUGCUGAGCCACGCAGCCGGGCUGCCCGAGCAGGAGCGCGCUGGUGACAAACCCCGCAAACCGCUCACGGCUCCGUGGGCACGGCUUGUUCUGGCAGCUGCUGACAGGGACGGAGCAGCACCCUUGGAGCGCAACCACAACGCCUUUGUUGUUUGUUAACUGGUUCGCCGCAGCUCACCACAAAAAUGUUUUGGCUUUAUAAAGGUAAUAAGAAAACAUAAUUCCAGAACAUGAAAUCUCUAGGUGAUUUGUGAAAUGGGCAAUCCGGGAAGGUGAUGACUGUUAAUCACAUAGCAACUCCUAAGCAAAGUUCGUUAAACUAACCGCAUAAAUAUCCAGAAAAUGGCCUGGGAAUGUACACUGCAAAGUCUGAAAACUAGUUAUUAUGUAUACAGAAGCAAGACAGUGGUGAACAGAAAUUUAAAAAAAAAUAAAAAAAAGAAGAGAUCUAUAGAUCCACAAACUUAAUUCAUCACAUUUAAUGAAUUUCAUUUAUUUUAAUGAGACUGAAGCAUGGGUACUAUAUACCUUUGAAGCGUUCACAGGUGUCGUUCUCUACCUAAUUUGUACCAAAGGGAUGCAGCACAAAACUGUUUGCCUCCAUAAAGUUUAAAGAUCAAGCAUGAAUAUUGACAGGCAAACAGCAAAACUUAUUAGAUUGAAAACCAGCAUUUUCAUAAAUACACCGGAGGCCAGGAACAGAAGCGAGGGCAUUCAGAAUGUUCCCCUGUCCUGGAGCACUGCACGGCCCCUGCUCGGGCUCCUGGAGGCACGGCAGGAGGUGAGGGAUUCUGGGCUGCUGAGCAAGGCCAUGCCAAAGCACACCAACACAGCAGGGAGAAAAGGACAUCAGAUGAAAUAUGUAAUGAUAUAGGCAGCCCCUAAGCUUCCAAAGCCGUCACAGAAAGCUCCCCUUCCAAGACCAUGUUCCAAAGAAGAAGUAUGAAACACUUUCACAGCUGUUUGCAAUAAGACUCACUGUACAAGGGCUGAAAAUAUUUCACCUAAGCAGGACAUCACCUAUUAAAUUCUAAAUAUCAGAUAUUACAACAAAUCUGAG